UAAUUAAAGGCAAUUCUGGAUUUAGAUUGUUGAAACUAAAUUAAUUUCUUUCUUAAUGUUUUGUUGCAGCUCCUUGAUCAGUAGUUGUAUCAUGCAGUAGUAGGUGCCAGUUUACAUCUGUAUAGGUUUCAUAUUACUGUAGUCUUAGCAAUGGAAUAUGUAGUUAUGAUUCUAGGUUACAUACUGUAGAUUAGCUUGAUGAUUAUAUCAUUAAUAAUGGCCACAGUCUCGUAAACUGCGGAAAAG